UACGUAGGGUGCAAGCGUUAUCCGGAAUUAUUGGGCGUAAAGAGCUCGUAGGCGGUCUGUUGCGUCGGCUGUGAAAACCCGGGGCUCAACUCCGGGCCUGCAGCCGAUACGGGCAGACUAGAGUUCGGCAGGGGAGACUGGAAUUCCUGGUGUAGCGGUGAAAUGCGCAGAUAUCAGGAAGAACACCCGUGGCGAAGGCGGCUCUCUGGGACGGUACUGACGCUGAGACGCGAAAGCGUGGGGAGCGAACAGG
rnacentral:rRNA from 1 species